GACGAACGCUGGCGGCGUGCUUAACACAUGCAAGUUGAACGGAAAGGCCCUGCUUUUGUGGGGUGCUCGAGUGGCGAACGGGUGAGUAACACGUGAGUAACCUGCCCUUGACUUUGGGAUAACUUCAGGAAACUGGGGCUAAUACCGGAUAGGAGCUCCUGCUGCAUGGUGGGGGUUGGAAAGUUUCGGCGGUUGGGGAUGGACUCGCGGCUUAUCAGCUUGUUGGUGGGGUAGUGGCUUACCAAGGCUUUGACGGGUAGCCGGCCUGAGAGGGUGACCGGCCACAUUGGGACUGAGAUACGGCCCAGACUCCUGCGGGAGGCAGCAGUGGGGAAUAUUGCACAAUGGGCGGAAGCCUGAUGCAGCAACGCCGCGUGCGGGAUGACGGCCUUCGGGUUGUAAACCGCUUUCGCCUGUGACGAAGCGUGAGUGACGGUAAUGGGUAAAGAAGCACCGGCUAACUACGUG
rnacentral:rRNA from 1 species